GCCCUGGACGCGCGCCGGCCCGGCGCCGCGUCACCAGAAACAAGCUCAUGUAACAUGCCGACAACUUCUCAAACAAGAAUGACGUUAUCAGCUCCGGAACCCGUUAUCCAAGACAAUUCGGAUAGUGUAGCGGAAAGAGCCAAAUGUCUACGCGCCUGGUUACAAACUGCCCCUUAAUACUUUAAUAAUAAUUUCAUCUAUAUAUUGUGACUAUAGACUGUACAAUUUCUAGAUCUUUUUAAAGUCAAACUAGUAGACAAUGACUGAACGUUUUAUAUGAUUUAUCGUUUCUAAAACAAAAGUAGGUCUAUAUUGAAUGUUUAAUUAACUAUUGCCAUACUCCAUAGUUUGAAAUCUAUUUAUACUACUGAAAAAAAGUUUAAAGUAGUUUCGUACAUAAGUCAACGUAAAUCAUUAUUAUUAUUAUUGUAAAGUGAUCUGAUGUGUUUGAUUCCAUAACUGGUUUUACAAGGAAAACAUCAUAAAUUUUCACGUAACAGAUAAAAUUUCUUAUUUAUGCAUGUUUGAAAUUGUUUAUUUUACUUUAAUGUAUACGAAACAAAUGUUAACUUCUUUGCUAUAUUAUGUACAGUUCUUAUUGAAACAUGAGACUUUAUUAUACCGGAAAAAAAUAAUUACAGAAAGAAGUUACUACAUAAGUACUUGUCUUUAAAAAAAGAUGUUUCAUUUUUUAUUAGACUCAAUAGAAGUCAAUAACAGCUAAGUUUAUUUUAUUGUGUAAAAGCUCUCUCCACAUUUAUUUAUAAAAUGUUCAAUACCAUGAAAUUUGUUGUUUUUAUAUCUAGUCAACAACUAGCUAGUCGCGUAAAUCAUUAAAAUAUAUUUAAUAUGAUUAUAUUAUGAAGAUAAUUUAAAGUGUUCUAAUAAAUAAGGUUGUCCAUAAAAA